GUGGUGUAACUCUGCAGUCCCCGGCCUUGAGAGUGCAUGGUGCAACAAAACAGAGGCCUCCCCUUGGGACUUUACCAGUGGACAUUCAUUUAGCUUCCAAGACUGUAGCCUGUAAAGGACACAGUUGUCAGGAAUUUCCCCUUUCAUCCUUCCUCCAUGUCUUUCACUCCCCUGUCCUUGGCACUGGGCCAGCAGCUGCAGUUUCAGUCCUGAAGAGAGUUUGCAACCAACUGAUACUGAAUGAUUGAUAUGCACUUCUUUCUUCCAUCAUAAAGGGAGGUAGUUGGAAGAAGCCAAAGCUACACCGUGUUUCAAACAGCUGGAGAAUAGCACAAAUACUGGAGAAAAAAAACACAUGCAACAUCCUGUGAGCUGGCGUUUUCAUAGAAUUUAAAAAUAAAUGUCAAGAAACGG
rnacentral:lncRNA from 1 species